UACAGAGGUCUCGAGCGUUAGGCGGAAUCACUGGGCUUAAAGCGUGUGUAGGUGGAUCGUUAAGUACCUUGUGAAAUCCCACGGCUUAACCGUGGAACUGCUUGGUAUACUGGCGGUCUUGAGCCAGCUAGGGGCUACCGGAACAAAUGGUGGAGCGGUGAAAUGCGUAGAUAUGCGGAGGAACACCGAUGGCGAAGGCAGUCCCCUGGGCCUGUACUGACGCUCAUGCACGAAAGCGUGGGGAGCAAACAGG
rnacentral:rRNA from 1 species